rnacentral:rRNA from 1 species
AACGAACGCUGGCGGCAUGCCUAACACAUGCAAGUCGAACGCCUGCAGCAAUGCAGGAGUGGCAGACGGGUGAGUAACACGUGGGAAUCUACCCAGUAGCUCGGAAUAACCGCGGGAAACUGCGGCUAAUACCGGAUAAGCCCCGAGGGGGAAAGGAGCAAUCCACUAUUGGAGGAGACCGCGUCUGAUUAGCUAGUUGGUGGGGUAAUGGCCUACCAAGGCGAUGAUCAGUAGCUGGUUUGAGAGAACGACCAGCCACACUGGGACUGAGACACGGCCCAGACCCCUACGGGAGGCAGCAGUGGGGAAUAUUGGACAAUGGGGGAAACCCUGAUCCAGCAAUGCCGCGUGGGUGAUGAAGGCCUUCGGGUUGUAAAGCCCUUUUGUCGGGGACGAUGAUGACGGUACCCGACGAAUAAGCCCCGGCUAACUUCGUGCCAGCAGCCGCGGUAA